AUUGAACGCUGGCGGCAGGCCUAACACAUGCAAGUCGAGCGAGUGGCGGACGGGUGAGUAAUGUCUGGGAAACUGCCUGAUGGAGGGGGAUAACUACUGGAAACGGUAGCUAAUACCGCAUACCAUCAGAUGUGCCCAGAUGGGAUUAGCUAGUUGGUGGGGUAACGGCUGACCAAGGCGACGAUCCCUAGCUGGUCUGAGAGGAUGACCAGCCACACUGGAACUGAGACACGGUCCAGACUCCUACGGGAGGCAGCAGUGGGGAAUAUUGCACAAUGGGCGCAAGCCUGAUGCAGCCAUGCCGCGUGGGUGAAGAAGGUCUUCGGAUUGUAAAGCACUUUAAGUUGGGAGGCGUUACCAACAGAAUAAGCACCGGCUAACUUCGUGCCAGCAGCCGCGGUAAUAC
rnacentral:rRNA from 1 species